AACAGGAAACAGGAGACGGCGAGAUGAUGAUCAUCAUCAGGGAGUGAUUGCAGCUGGAGGAUCCUGAUUGGUGGAUCGAAGCACAUCUGCUGAGGGGAAUGGAAGAUCAGUGUUGAACCCCCCCCCCCUCCCCCCAGCCCCUCCACACACUCAUUACAGCUACACAGAAGACAACUUAUAACAGUGAUCAAAUUAGUUCAAUGCUUUUGUUGUGUUUACUCAUCUAACAUUUUAUUCAAAUAAAAAAGCUACACAAUUUUAAAUAGGCCUACCAGUGACAUUUUCAGUACCACACCAAAACUAACUAAAGACUUUUCUAUAAAGUUCAAAUGUUAUAAAAAAAGAACAAAUAUACUUAACAAAAGAGAAAGAAAAAAGAACAUAUAAACCUAGUUACAAGCAGU